rnacentral:rRNA from 1 species
UACGAGGGGUGCAAGCGUUAUUCGGAAUGACUGGGCGUAAAGGGUGUGUAGACGGCGUAUUAAGUCUUUUGUUAAAUACCUCAGCCUAACUGGGGGUCAGCGAAGGAAACUAAUUUGCUAGAGAUUGGAAGAGAGAAGUGGAAUUCUCGGAGUAGCGGUAAAAUGCGUAGAUCUCGAGAGGAACACCAAUGGCGAAGGCAGCUUCUUGGUCCAUAUCUGACGUUGAGACACGAAAGCGUGGGGAGCAAAC